UACGGAGGGUGCAAGCGUUACCCGGAAUCACUGGGCGUAAAGGGCGUGUAGGCGGCAACUUAAGUCUGGCUUUAAAGACUGGGGCUCAACCCCAGGAGUGGGCUGGAUACUGAGAGGCUAGAUGUCUGGAGAGGUAAGUGGAAUUUUUGGUGUAGCGGUGGAAUGCGUAGAUACCAAAAGGAAUACCCAUGGCGAAGGCAGCUUACUGGACAGAACAUGACGCUGAGGCGCGAAAGUGUGGGGAGCAAACCGG
rnacentral:rRNA from 1 species